AUUCGAAGUCACUUCGACUACGCUUGCUUCAUUCUGGAACCCUGUAACAAGAUGGCAUUAUGUAAACUUGAUAAAAUUCAAUAUAAAUGUUUACGUGUAAUUACAGGAGCUAUGAAGUCAUCCCCAACAAAUGCUCUUCAAAUUGAAUGCGUCGAGGCUCCUCUGCAGCUACGGCAACAAUUUCUGUCAGAUAGGUUAUUUUAAACUUGGAAAUAAAUAAGAACUCUCCAGGAGCUAAUGCAGAGUUCAACAGAAUCUCUGAAAGGAACUGGCCAGGUUGGCUACAUCUUUAUACAGAUGCAUCUAAAAUUUCGGAUUCCGAUAAUGUAGGAGCAGCGGUCUGGAUUCCAAAGUAUAAAUUAAUCCUUAAUUAUAAAUGCCCACCUAAAUGUUCAAUAUUUACAGAUUCUCUUAGUUGCCUUCAGGACAUCAUUAAAAAA